rfam:Ictidomys tridecemlineatus contig103793, whole genome shotgun sequence.
UAGCUCAGUUGGUAGAGUGCUUGCUUCACAUGCACAAGGCCCUGGGUUCAAUCCCCAG